rnacentral:rRNA from 1 species
AGCGGCGGACGGGUGAGUAAUGCCUGGGAAUAUGCCCUGAUGUGGGGGAUAACUAUUGGAAACGAUAGCUAAUACCGCAUAAUCUCUUCGGAGCAAAGAGGGGGACCUUCGGGCCUCUCGCGUCAGGAUUAGCCCAGGUGGGAUUAGCUUGUUGGUGAGGUAAUGGCUCACCAAGGCAACGAUCCCUAGCUGGUCUGAGAGGAUGAUCAGCCACACUGGAACUGAGACACGGUCCAGACUCCUACGGGAGGCAGCAGUGGGGAAUAUUGCACAAUGGGGGAAACCCUGAUGCAGCCAUGCCGGGUGUGUGAAGAAGGCCUUCGGGUUGUAAAGCACUUUCAGUAGGGAGGAAGGUAGUGUAGUUAACACCUGCACUAUUUGACGUUACCUACAGAAGAAGCACCGGCUAACUCCGUGCCAGCAGCCGCGGUAAUACGGAGGGUGCGAGCGUUAAUCGGAAUUACUGGGCGUAAAGCGCAUGCAGGCGGCCUGUUAAGUCAGAUGUGAAAGCCCGGGGCUUAACCUCGGAAUUGCAUUUGAAACUGGCAGG